CCCCAGUGCCCAGCCAUGAUCAAGGCAAUCCUAAUCUUCAACAACCACGGGAAGCCGAGGCUCUCCAAGUUCUACCAGCCCAACAGUGAAGAUACACAACAGCAAAUCAUCAGGGGGACUUUCUAUUUGGUAUCUAAGAGAGAUGAAAAUGUUUGUAAUUUCCUAGAAGGAAGAUUAUUAAUUGGAGGAUCCAACAACAAACUGAUUUAUAAACAUUAUGCAAUGCUAAUAUUUUGUCUUCUGUGUUGAUUCUUCAGAAAGUGAACUUGACAUUUUAGAUCUAAUUCACGUAUUUGUGGAAACAUUAGACAAAUGUUUUAAAAAUGUCUGUGAACUGGAUUUGAUCUUCCAUGUAGACAAGGUGCACAAUAUUCUUGCAGAAAUGGUGAUGGGGGGAAUGCUAUUAGAGACUAACAUGAAUGAGAUUGUUACACAAAUUGAUACAGAAAAUAAGCUAGAAAAAUCUGAGGCUGGCUUAGCAGAAGCGCUGUUAUCAGCUGUAAAGAAUACGAAUCUUCCUGAGAUCCCAAGAAAUAUUAACAUUGGUGACAUCAGUAUAAAAUUGACAAACCUGCCCUCUUUUAAAUAAAAAUUUUAAGAAGCCACUUCCAGGUAAAAUCCAGAGGAAAAAGUCAUCUAAGUUUACCAUGCAGUCAUUUACCAAAAAUAGAGAAGAGUCUUAACUUUUGCUCAAGGUACUAUAUAGGAAUUGUGUAAAAUCA